rnacentral:sRNA from 1 species
AAACAAAAUAACAUAUCUUAUUACCAAGAAUCAUAUUCAUAUUAGU